rnacentral:lncRNA from 1 species
GCACAUAACAGUAAUCAUUUUUGCUAAUUCUUCACGAUCCUUAUUUGGAUCGUAAUAUAAAAUACCUCCGGUGACAGUGUUAAUUCCUGGUUGAACUCGAUUAGAACCAGUACUAGGGUUAACUUGAGAAUCUACACUUGUCCCCCUUCUUGUUGCGCUUGCAUUUGGAAAAAUCUAGCCCUAUCUCUAGGGUGUAAUUUUAUAUGCCUAGUCAAACUACCCGUGCCGCUACGGUCUCCAGUAUACCUAUGAACAAGUAAUUUCCCACAAGUUUUACACUUAGCCUUGUCGUGCUCCCUUAUUUGAGUAAAAAAAUGCCAAACUAAUGAUAUUUUUUGACGUUU